rnacentral:rRNA from 1 species
UACGUAGGGUGCAAGCGUUGUCCGGAAUUAUUGGGCGUAAAGGGCUCGUAGGCGGUCCAUCGCGUCGGGAGUGAAAAGCUGGGGCUUAACCCCAGUCCUGCUUCCGAUACGGGUGGACUAGAGGUAGGUAGGGGAGAACGGAAUUCCUGGUGUAGCGGUGAAAUGCGCAGAUAUCAGGAGGAACACCGGUGGCGAAGGCGGUUCUCUGGGCAUUAACUGACGCUGAGGAGCGAAAGCAUGGGGAGCGAACAGG